AUCUGGUCAUCGUUGGUUUGGUGGCAACUUGAAGUUAUUGUUUUUCUAUUCGUUUUGAGAACCUGUUGUAUGCUUACCUUUUUCAUAACUCAAACCCAAAUGCUAAAAUCCAUGGCAACCCAAGCAGAGAAUAUUAGAAUCCACGUCGUCGCCACUUUAACGAAAGAAUGAUGUAAAGAUCAAGGUAUUAUUGAAGACGUUGGAUCUGAAAUUUCUUGCAGAGAAUAUUAUAGAUGAAGCUACAAAAAAUAUAAAUUAUUCGAAACAUUGGAUAAAGAGAUGGCUGUGAG